rnacentral:lncRNA from 1 species
AGAGAUCCAAUCCUGCGGAAGUGCUAGCUUGCGCAGAAUUCUUGAGGCUGAAAUUUGAUCUUCCAAACACUAUCAACUUUUGAUCCGCCUUCUUGAAAGAACUUGGAGGAAAGGUUUAAAGGGAUUGAAGAGGACUUAGAUCUGAUCUAAAGACUCUUAUCAGGGGCCCCUAACACUAAUGGCGCGAUGGACUUAGAGGAGGAAGAAGUCAGCUAGAUUGAAUGCAGAAUUUUUCCAUGCAUGAACUAGGGUUCCUCUCUUUUCUUUUCCCUUUUUUCUUCUUCUUUUUCUCUCUUUUUUCCUUGAAUUCGACCACCAGAUGAUGGAGGUCCUUUUAAUGUUGCUCUCCUACCUAACUUCAUGCCAACCAUCCCAUAUUUGUGGAGGAUUUUGUGGGGUUUUGAAUUUUGAAUUCAAAAUUCAAGUUCAUGUGCCAUUACAUGAUGAAGCUUGAUCUAAUCUAAAC